rnacentral:lncRNA from 1 species
GCAUCAAUGGAAUGGACUUUGAGUUUAACUAGUGUUAAAAUCUAUGCAAAGUAAGUAUAGAAUCCUAUGCAACCUAAGCUUGAAUAAAACCUAUGCAAACUAAACAUAGAAUUAUAUACAAACUAAGGUGAACAAAACAUGGCAUAGAAAAAUUCAUAGAGUUCUGGCGGGCACCGAUAUAGGAGGAGGCUCCGUAACAGGCCCGCUGCUACCAGCAUGAAAUGUGCUAGCGUCACUUCUGGCUGCCACGCUGGAUGUGUCCUUGUCUAGAAUCUCAUCAACACCAUGGCACUAGUCAUGUUCAUUCUCCACUAGGCUGGUUGUCUUU